UGAGGAAUAUUGCACAAUGGAGGAAACUCUGAUGCAGCAACGCCGCGUGGAGGAUGACGCAUUUCGGUGUGUAAACUCCUUUUAAGAGGGAAGAUUAUGACGGUACCUCUUGAAUAAGCACCGGCUAACUCCGUGCC
rnacentral:rRNA from 1 species